rnacentral:tRNA from 1 species
GGAGAAAUGGCAGAGCGGUCGAAUGCACACGAUUCGAAAUCGUGCAAUGGGCAACCAUUCUAGGGUUCAAAUCCCUAUUUCUCCGCCA